rnacentral:rRNA from 1 species
CGGGGUGCAGCAGGCGCGAAAACUCUACAAUGCAGGCAACUGCGAUAGGGGGACAUCGAGUGGCAUCCACCUUGGGUGCCUGUCCAACCGUCUAAAAAACGGUUGUUAGCAAGGGCCGGGUAAGACCGGUGCCAGCCGCCGCGGUAAUACCGGCGGCUCGAGUGGUGGCCGAUAUUAUUGAGUCUAAAGGGUCCGUAGCCGGCUUUGCAAGUCCCCUGGGAAAUCCAGCGGCUUAACCGUUGGGCUUUCAUGGGAUACUACAUUGCUUGGGACUGGGAGAGGUAGGAGGUACUCGGGGGGUAGGGGUGAAAUCCUGUAAUCCUCCGGGGACCACCGGUGGCGAAGGCGUCCUACCAGAACAGGUCCGACGGUGAGGGACGAAAGCUAGGGGCACGAACCGGAUUAGAUACCCGGGUAGUCCUAGCCGUAAACGAUGCCCGCUAGGUGUCACGACGGUCGUGAAUCGUCGUGGUGCCGUAGGGAAGCCGCGAAGCGGGCCACUUGGGAAGUACGGCCGCAAGGCUGAAACUUAAAGGAAUUGGCGGGGGAGCACAAGGGCGAAUUG